rnacentral:rRNA from 1 species
UAGGGAAUCUUCGGCAAUGGGGGGAACCCUGACCGAGCAACGCCGCGUGAGUGAAGAAGGUUUUCGGAUCGUAAAGCUCUGUUGUUAAGGAAGAACGAGUGUGAGAAUGGAAAGUUCAUACUGUGACGGUACUUAACCAGAAAGGGACGGCUAACUACGUGCCAGCAGCCGCGGUAAUACGUAGGGCCCGAGCGUUGUCCGGAUUUAUUGGGCGUAAAGCGAGCGCAGGCGGUUAGAUAAGUCUGAAGUUAAAGGCAGUGGCUCAACCGUUGUAGGCUUUGGAAACUGUUUAACUUGAGUGCAGAAGGGGGGAGUGGAAUUCCAUGUGUAGCAGUGAAAUGCGUAGAUAUAUGGAGGAACACCGGUGGCGAAAGCGGCUCUCUGGUCUGUAACUGACGCUGAGGCUCGAAAGCGUGGGGAGCGAACAGG